CGGGGCUCAAUGCCUUGUAAUUGGAAUGAUGGGAAUCUAAACCCCUUCCAGAGUAUCAAUUGGAGGGCAAGUCUGGUGCCAGCAGCCGCGGUAAUUCCAGCUCCAAUAGCGUAUAUUAAAAUUGUUGCAGUUAAAAAGCUCGUAGUUGAAUUUCUGCUGCAUCGACGAUACCCACACGGGACCGACGUUGCGGCUUAUUUCGGACUUGCGUGCAUCUCCGAAUGUUUACUUUGAGAAAAUUAGAGUGCUCAAAGCAGGCCCUUGCCUUGAAUACUUUAGCAUGGAAUAAUAAAGUAGGACUUUGGUUCUAUUUUGUUGGUUUAGCACCAAAGUAAUGGUUAAUAGGAACAGUUGGGGGCAUUCGUAUUUAACUGUCAGAGGUGAAAUUCUUAGAUUUGUUAAAGACGAACCACUGCGAAAGCAUUUGCCAAGGAUGUUUUCAUUAAUCAAGAAC
rnacentral:rRNA from 1 species